rnacentral:lncRNA from 1 species
AACCCCGGGACCUGAUGAUGCCAUACUGUAGAUUCCGAGUGUAUGAACCAAUAUAGCCUACUGUCACUCUGAAAUGAAAAAUACGGGCCAGUGCUAUCACUGAGUGAGAAAUUUUGUCCUCGACCACAUUAAGGUGCACAUAAUUAUACUAACAGUAUUCAGCACGUAUCACAAAAGGCUACAUAUACACUAACACCUUAUCACAUAUUGUAUUUGGGAUCCUGAGUCACAUAUGCUAACAACCCAUAUAUUAGUGGCAUUGAAUUGGGCCAUAGAGACAGUGGUUAGUGUUGUGCUUACCGAGGCCCACAACCUCAGUAGUUAGUGUGGCGCUGCUUACCAAGGCCCAUCGAGAAACAUAAUUGUAAUAAGAACUAAUCGUCAACAUAUGAGCCCUAACUACCUAAUAUAUUUGAUUAUCAGUAACAAGUACAGUUCAGACUAAAACAUAUUCUAAAAUAGAUAUACCAGCAAAGUAACAUAACAUGUAUCACAUUAACUUACAAAUAUAGUAAAUAAGCGCACAUGAUCUUAAGGUUAAACGACCAGUGUCGUUGCAUGCAAAUGAACUUUAAUAAUAAACUCAUAAUUGAACAUCUAACCCGAUUAGAUACGUAAGAGACCCUCACUAGAAAUAAUCCUUGAAAACCCGACAAUAGCUUUUGAAUAGAAAUUUUAACUCUGGACCUCCUUUAAGAAAUAAUUGCUAGGUUCUAGUUUUCUUGUAAUCCUUCGACUCACAUUUUCAGGUACCAAAAUAUUUGCCCCACCUUAAGGUAAACCGCUUAUGCCCUUUUAUCAACACCGCUUCUAUCAUUUACCAAGUAAAAUACCUACCAAUGCCAAUAAGCUAAUUAACUUGUCCACAUCUUUGGCACCUGGACAUUUCAUUAAUCUAAAGGGAUGCUCGAAUGCAUGCAUGGGUGUAAUCUCCUCAAGCUAGCCUCGUUUAUACUUCUCUUUCGUAAGGUUUUGCAGAGCUGGUGUGCUGAAUUCUAAAAGAUAAUUGAGAAGGAAAGAUGAUAUCUUGAAAAGGAAGAAGUAGAGAGCAGAGAAAAUAGUGAGAUAGUGAAAGGUUGUGAUAUAUUGAAAAGGAUUCAUGUCCCUCCCCUCAUUGAAUACAAUAACAUAUAACUCUUCCCUGAAUCUCAGAUGGAUGGAAACAGUCCAAGUGAAUGGGUCUAGGCAUACAAUGCCAAAAUGCAAAAUCACAAGUGAUUGAAACACAAACAAGCUAAUAUUCACUAAAAAGCAUGCAGAUAGGGAUAAAUAAUAACUACAAAUCCUAGCACUAUCAAAUCCUCCCACACUUGAACAUUGCUUGUCCUCAAGCAACUUUACUAUUCACAUUCUAAACAGACUUUAAACAUGGUGAAAAGGGAACAACAUGGUAGCAGUUCAAGCCUACUUCACGACGCCAAGAACACACUUUUGAUCACCAAACCACACAGUUACAUUUAUCGAGCCUUCUAAACCAAAUAAAGAACAAAUUUAUGCAUAUAGUUAAUACCACUCAGCACCUACCGGAAAAAAAACAUGUCCCCAUCACUUAGGCUAAAAAAAGAUGGUCCUGGCCGAGUAUUUUUCCCGUUCUAAGGGAGGGAGUGCUUACUUCAAUAAUAUAUCCAAAUCAAAGCACUCCCCUCUUGUUUUACAAUUUUGCUAUACAUGAUAUGUUAACCACUUUGGGUCAAAUGAAUUACUCAAUUAAUUGCAAACCCAUUUUUCAAAAAAAAAAAUUGCAUAGCUUUUGGGGUUGUCUUUCCAAGUGAGGGUAUUGCGAGCCUGAUUGGGCUAAGGCUCUUAUCUACAUAUAUUGAGUUUACCCAGAAAACCCCAACCCACAACUAGGAAGAGAUGAGAAGAGAAGCCCGAAGGGACAAGCUUAUAGGGGGCAGACUCAAAGUCGCCAUGUGUGUUGAAUCGCAACCGAACCCACGGCAAUUUGGGCACAUUGGCCUCUUUUGCACCUUAUUCGGACCAUCUAGUCACAUAUGACUUUAAACAACUAGAGCAACUCGAUAGGAGAAUUAAUUGUUCACAAAGUCGGUAGACAUCAAGACCGAGUAACCAAAUGCAUAAAUCAAUCGUAAACUCGUUUCGAGAAACACGGGAGGCGGUUCCAAAAUGAUCUAUCAUUCAUCCUAUUCACCCUCAAGCAGCAAUACUAUGCUAAACAUGCAUCCACUUCAUCCAAAGUUUCAAGUUUAAGAGGGAAUUUCAAACGUUGAGUGACAAGGGUUGUAUUAAAGCAAAAGUGAAUCAACCAGCACCCUAAUUCAUCCAAGAAAACCACAUCAUUACCCCCAAAGUAGUGACAUAAGAGAAGAGAAAAGUUGAUACCAAAGCGAGUUAAUGAAAUGGGGUUUGGUGCUGAGAUGCGAUAACAGAACCAUUAUUGAGACCUGCCACCCAUAACAAAAACAACAUACUAGUGAUAGAUGUAACAAGUGUUAUCAUCCGUUAACAAGGGUCCAAUUGAAGCACAUAUGUUUACCAAUCAAUCAAAACCAAUCCCUCCCCACACUUAGAAUUUCUUUUGUCCUCGCGAAAUAUCUAAUGUGAAAGGCAGGGAAACAAACUUAGGGUAGUUGGUUAUUAUUUAAAAAAAAAGAAAUUAGGGUGCACGACAUGCAUGGGUGCACUACGUGCAUGCCAAUUGUCAUAGAAGGUAAUUAGACCAUCUAGAUUUGUAGGUGUGUAGGCUAAAUUUCAGCAACAAUUUUGUUUUAAACCUUCAACAACACUCAACAAUCACAGCUCCCUAGCAUUCAUUUGGCAACAACGACCAAAUAGGACACUAUCACUAGACUCAUAACUAGACUGAAUCACAAGACCGACACAAAAGACAUACCAAAACACAAACAAACCAGAAAUCCUUGGUCUUUUAUUCUCUAUUCUAACAAUGAAUACGCAAGGAGUGCCUCCUAAGAGCGUUCUUUCUUUUUCGCCUUUGAGCUAGACGAUACCUGGAUUAUGUACCCCAACUUAGAACCUCCUUGAAUUCCAUUAGCUUCUUCAAGGAUUGGACUUAAAUUCCAUGUAGCACCCUUAGAGAGAGAUGGAGGAGACGAAGGGUUGUGAGUGCUAGCUCUUUCCUCAUUGUGGCUUCCUCCUAGUAAAUGUGUUUGCUUGAGGAUGGUAGAGGUAGGUUGGUGAGUGAACAUCAAGCUCUAUUAUGCUCCACAAGCUAAUGGUGGUACUCAAGCGGUAUGUGAGGUCGUCCAAGGGUGGUCCCCAAAUGGAGGAGUCCGUUCUAGAUUGGUGUAGGAAGUACUCCUUACGAGUUUCCUCACAUAGGUACUUCAAAACCAAACAUGAGUCUUGAAGGGUCUUGUUUGGUCUCAUUGGAACUAUGACUUGAGGAAAACGCCAAAUGAUGGGUUGCUCAAUGGGAGGCACAAUGUUGAAUUUGGGAGGCCCGUUACCUUCAUGUACUUCUUCCUUCCUUUCUCCAUCAUCCUCCCUUUCGGACUCUUCUACCCCAACAUCAAAGAGAGGUAGUUUGCUUUCAAGGAAGGUUGAUGCCUUCAUUUUUUCUUCAUCCAUUUCCUCGGAUGUCACACCCAAAUCAUGAUCAUUCAUCUCAAUCUCCUCCAAUUGUGGUAGGAGAGGAAGUUCCUCCACAAGUCGUGUCAAAAGGUGAGUUUGUUCGUUUAAUAUUUCUAGUCUACGAUGACCCUCCUCAAGUUGCAUAAGGAGUUGCUCAUGCAUACAAGGAGGGGAUUGAUAUGAAUAAUCGGGUCUUGAGUAUUAAUAAUCUUCAAAAGGUGCUUUAUCUUGAUUGUGGCCUUGGUGGGAGUAGAUUAAAGGUGAGUAUUGGUGAUAGUGAGUUGAAGGUGAGUCUGGGUAGAAAGGUGUUGGAGAUUGGUGUGCACCCCAACUUGGCAUUGCUCCUUGCCCAAAGUUACUCCCUUGUUGUUGCUCUCCAUCAUAACUAGGUUGGUAGUAGUUUGGUGGAUCUUGAUGCUCAUAAUGUUGGUUUUGCUUAGGAUAUGAGCUCCAUCCUUCAUCUCCAUCACUUGCACCAUAUGAACCUUGCCACUCUCCAUUCUAACUAUAACCUUGCAUAUGAACUCAAACAUUAAGAACCCAAGUAAAUUAUGUGGGAGAAAAACAAAAACAAAGUAACACUAUACAUGGGAGUCGAAUGUCUAAAGCUGCACCGACUUAGUUCUUUCAAACGAACGAGAGAGAGGUUUUAGGUGUAAGGCCUGCACGUCGUACACUUAUGCAUGACGUGCAGUCUAAUUUCAAUGAGAGAUUUUUUGAAAUUAAGGGGUUGCACGGCGUGCAACCCUUCUUCUUUACUAAUUCUUGCAUCGACACUCCAUUCGAGGUCCAACCGUGCUCUAUUCCACGUCCAUAGCCUCAUAGCCAGACCACCUGUCUCUAAAGUACUUGUGGAUAACAAAUACUACAAAGAAACAUCAAAUGGACCGAAAUGGUCCAAGUGAACGGGUAGGCAUACAAUGCCAAAACGCAAAAUCACACGGGAUGAAAACACAAACAAGCUAAUAGUCACUCAAAAGCAUGCAUAUAGGGAUAGAUAAUCACUACAAGUACUAGCACUAUCACUCAGGUUCCAACUCUCGAUUCUCCGUCUUUAUAGCUUCCGCAUUCUUUUCAAGCAUAUAUAAGAUAUACCCUUCACCUCUCAUCUACUACCUUGGAUGGAGGUGUGUGAUUUCCACCCAGCCUUAUGCUUCUCCCCAUCCAAUUGAAUUCCAUCGUCAGCUUGUUGAAAUCCCACUUAAUGGGACCCAGUGGUCGAAGCCAUUGUACCCCGAGAAUUAUGUCAUACUCUAGUAUGGGUAAGAUGUGUAAAUCCACAUAAGAGUACAUCCCUUGAAUCUGCACUACCAUCCCGGAGUAGUGCCCUGGGCUCUUAAGGACCUCUUUGCUCCCCACUGUGACAUUAAAUUGAGUGUUACUCUCUGGAAUAAGAUACAGCUUCUUAGCCAUUCGCAUACUUCAAAAAUUAUGGUUGCUUCCGCUAUCCACCAGCGUUUUGAGUUGAUGAUAGUUCAUACGCUUCAUAAUUUCAGAACUUUCCACCCCUGUCAUCACAUUUAGAGAUAGAUCAAGAUAAGUGGAGCCUUCACCUUUCUCUAAAUCAACCUCCCAUUGUUCUGCUUCCAUGAUAGUUCAAUCAGGAAUAAUCAUUUGCAAUGAUGUCCUGGUGUGAAUACUUCAUCGCAAUUAAAGCAAAGUCCCUUCUCCCGUUGCUCUCUAAUUUCUACUGGAUUCAAUCGCUUGAUCGGUAACUGGCGAUUUGGUGGAAGAGCUGCAAUUCGAUUUGCUGCGUUGGCUGGUCCGAGGGUACUAAUGGUCAAUUUAUCUUCAAACAAGCGAGUAAGACCAAUUGCGGCUGAAAGACUAGUGGGUUGAUGACCUGCUUGCACCUUAAUCGACAUAUAUAUUUCCAAGUCCCUGAUGAAGCAUGCUACUUAUUGCUACUGAGCUAAGUGCCCUGCCUGAACCAAGAGUGGCUCAAAUUUAGCUGGAUAUUCUCGAACGGUCACCUUCUGCUGAAACUUGGUGAGCUCUCCAAAUGGGCUCUCGAAAUGAGUGGGACCAAAUCAUGAGUAAAUUCUGGCUUUAAGUUGGUCCCAUGUUACCAGUCCUUACUCUUUUAAGACUUGAAGCUAGAGUUGAGCCUCCCCUUCCAUAUAUAUGGAAGUCAAAAGGACCUUAUCAACUUCCAUCGUUUGAUAAUACUAAAAAAAUUGCUCGGCUCGACAUACCCAGGUCACCGAGUCUUCACCUCCAACAAACUUCGGAAAGUCGAUCUUAAUUCGAUCCCCUUGCAGUCGUGGGUUGCCGCCUGCUCCACCAUAUGGACCCGAAACUCCUCGAUCAUUCCUCCGCUCUAGGCUUUAAAUUCUACGAACAAAAACACUAAAAUCUCUGAAGAAGGAUGGUACCACAAGUUUCUUGGAUGGAGUUCCGGUCAGCUCCAUCAGCCGGUGUCCACAGGACUGGCUAACCCUUUUUGUUUUCAUAUGUUUUUCUUUAUAUGUUCAAUUUUAGAUUUCACCAUGCAAACGAAUACUUCCGAAUUUUAUUCUCGCUGUGUGAAUUUAGAAUGGAGCAUCGUACGUCAUCCAUCCCAUGCUCCAAUUGGUCAAUAAAACCCUCCAUCUCGAUCACGUCCUUCAGGUCGUCCGGCUCUGAUACCACCAUGUAAUGUGUCGUAGUUUGAUGAGUGACGACUAGUUCGGGUCUCCGCCACCGCCGAUGUCCCCAAGACACUACCUCAUCGUCUUUUCGCGAACUAGUGGCUUGCUCCAGCGUAAUCAGCCGUGUCGCUGCGUUGCAAAGCUCGUGUGCUGAAUUAUAGAGGAGAAUUGAGAUGCAAAGAUAAUAUCUUGAAGAGGAAGAAGUAGAGAGCAGAGAAUAUAGUGAGCUAGUGAAAGGUUGUGAUAUAUUGAAAAUGAUUCAUGUCCCUCCCCUUAUCGAAUACAACAACAUAUAACACUUUCCAGAAUCUCAGCAGCCUAACCCUCCUAAUGAUUUAACAAUAAUAUAAUAGAAACAUUAAGUGAAACAACAUUAAGUGUAUAGAAGUGUAAUCGAGCCUCUAGUGCAUACAUGCACUUUACAGGUAAUGUGAAUUUUAUAAAAUGACCGAGUUAAUUAUUAUAUGCAACCAUAUAUAAGUGUAUAGAAUUAGUUCAUGAAUCUCUACAGUAACACCUACUAGGUUAAUUCGAUCGAUAUUUCUAGUGUGGUUGGAGAGGGUUGCUACAAUUCCUCCCCUCUUCAAAGAUUUCAUCCUCGAAAUUUAGGGCUUAAUAUCUCUCGGCUAGCUAGAAUAUAACUAGUUACCAUUCCUUCAUUCACAAGCGACACGUAAUAAGUAAGGUUCCCAAGUUUUAGAGAUAGAACCUAACCUAAGUGAUCAAAAUAUACGCAUAUCAAUGAAGCAAAUAGUGAUACGUUAACUUCUUUCUCCCUUGUAGCAAACCCACUCUCUAGAUUCCUCCAUACUACCUUCAACAUAGGGAUUUGCUUACUAUUAAGGAUCAAAACUAUAAUAUGAACUAAUACUUCCUGGUAUGAUAAAUCUUUCUCCAACUCUACCUCACCAGGUUGGAUAAUAUGAGAUGGAUCUAUUUGAUACUUCUUAAGCAGACUCAUAUUAAACAUGUUAUGGAUUAUGUUUAGCUCAGUCAGAAAAGCUAGGGCAUAAGCAACCUAUCCCACUUUACCUAUGAUAUCAUAAGGUCUAAUGUACAUUGGAGCUAACUUUUCCUUCCUUCCAAAUCGCAUUAGACCCUUACAAGGACAUAACUUAAGGAAAACUUUGAAACCCCACCUUAGGAGUCCCAGUCAAACCACUAGUUCAACCAAGGAAUCCCAGUCAAACCUAACUGAAAUACUUUAACAAAACUGACCAACAAGGAUCUCGGAUCCCAAAAUCAAACAAGAUAAAAGAAGAUCCAACUCCAGCACUGAAAAUACAUAAAAACAUAUAUCAUCUGAUAUCAAAACUCUGACCAACUCUCUAGUUACAUCAAGGAAACAAUAUCUAAUGGGGUCAGUGGUAACCACUGAAUGACUAUCUAUACUCGCAUAGAACUAAGACUACAACUGGAAUUGUGUCGAGACAUAAUUGAGGAUAGAACAUGUAAGUCUAUCUAGUGACUACAUCUAGUAAUGUGACCAUGUGGUCAUGUAGGCAUCAACCUAAUGUCAACCACCCCUAGCUGUGAGUGGAUACCUCAUGGUGGAUCAGACCAUAAAAACACGCUGACUACCGUGUGAGCAGCAUCUAUAUGCAUACUCAACACGUCCUGCUUGAGCCUAAUUAUAACCUGGGGGAUCGCGCAAUCCAUGGGUAGGUGAGCAACACAUCAUAAUCGGGAGCUAAUAUAGCUAAGCAUAAUCAUGUCCUAACAUGAACUGGGAACUACACACCAUAGUUCAAUCACGAAGAACUUAUGCUCAAAAUAUAAUAACUAUCUGUACAGUAUAUCACACGCUACUGUACUGCUUAAGAGCCCUCCCUCAAAUCACAUCACAACACAGCACCUGUAGAUCACAUGAUAAUGUAUAAUUUUGAGAGCCCAUAUCUGAAUCACAACACAUGUAUAGUAGAUCACACACUACUGUACAAUCUUGAGAGCCCUUGCUCCAAAACACACUGAGAACCCAAUCAUUGGAAUCCUGACAACCUACUACAGUUCUAGGCUUGAAGUAGAAAAGUAAUUCUAACCCCCACCUCUAUUUAGAUUCUUCGUAGAGUCUGAUUCGUGGCCUCAUUCAUGAAGCUCAAGCCUUCUGUCCUGUUAGACCUGAAGAGAACAAUCAAAGAUUGAAUCUCCAAAAACCCUAACUUUCAGGUUUCCAUACCUAAGUUUCAAUCUAUAGGACUAAGAGAGGAAGAAGAGGAUUGAUUACCUUCUCAUACAUCUCCUAACCUCUAUAAUCCUCUAUCCUUGAUCCUGGAUCGAUCAGCUCUGACUUCUCCCCUUGAUCGAUCUCCUUCAUCUCUUGGGAGAGAAUCUCCGUCCAUAGGUCUUUAUGUUUUUGUGUUUCUGAGUUGCAGGUCGCGACUCUAAUUUUAAAUUAAGCCCACCACGCCCGUGCCAGACUUGCCACAAAGCCCGUGACUGACUGCUCACCAUGCCCGUGGCCUUGUGUUGGUCACAUCCAUGAUCUCUUGAUCGUCACACCUAUGACUGAGUACUGACCAUGACUCCGGUCUGUCUGGCAACCACGCCUGUGACAGACUAUUGGUCACGUCUGUGACUAUCCACCUAUCUGAACAAAACUCAACGGAUACAAACCAAAACCCAAACCAACAGUUGCCUCAAAAUCAUGGUGUUACAAAAACCUUUUCACCCACCUUAUAACUCAUCUCACAAGUUUGAUGAUCUACAUACUACUUAUGAUGAUCCUGAGCCACUUUGAGUUUUUCCUGAAUUACUUUCACCUUAUUAUCUGUUUCGUGAACUAACUUUAGCCCAAUUAUUUGUUUGUCUCCUUCUUCGUCCCAACAUACAAAUUCCUGCACUUCCAUCCUCAUAAUGUCUCAUACGAAGAAGUACCAAUAUUACUAUGGUAAGAGUUAUUAUAAUCAAACUCUACAAAUGGUAACAACGUUGUCCAAUGUCUUUCAAACUCAUUUACAGAUGUUCACAACACCUCCUCCAACAUAACUAUAGUUCUCUUGGUCUAUUCAUCAGUCUGUGGAUGAUAUGUUAUAGAAAAGUUCAACAUUGUCGCCAAAGUCAGAUGCAAAUGUGUCCAGAAAUGUGAUGUGAAGCUCGGCUCUCGAUCCGACACAAAUGAGAGUGGAACUCCAUGAAGUUGAACAAUAUACUCCGGGUAUAACCUUGAUAAUACCUCAUUGUUGGGCUUGUGCCAUAUUGAAAUAAAAUGAGCCACUUUUGUAAUUCUAGCCACAAUCACCCUUAUUGCAUCUUUCCCAUUUUGUGUAGGUGGAAGCCAACUUACAAAAUCCAUAAUGAUGUGCUCAAAAGUCCAUUUUGGAAUGGGUAGUGACUGUAGUUUUCGAGUUGGAGCCUAGUGUCCUAUCUUUGUCCUUUGACAUAAUAAAAACGUUAAGACAUGUUUAGCUACUAGUCUUUUCAUCCCCGACCACCAGAAAGUUGGUCAGAUGAUGUGAUACAUCUUCAUCGCACCUGGAUGCAUGGCACAAGCUGAGGAACGCGCGUUAUCCAAUAUCUUGGAACUUCUCAUUUCAACUAUAAGUAGUACCCCUCCUCAAUAACUUUGUCAAAGGCUUAGAAAUUUUAGAGAAUUCCUCAACAAACCUUCUAUAAUAUCCAACCACAUCUAGGAAGUUCCAUAACUCUAACACAUUGGUGGGUGGCUCCCACUUAAUCAUAGCUUUAAUCUUUUUUUUUUCGGGUCCAUCUCUAACCCUUUCCCAUAUAUCAAGUGACCCAUAAAUAGAACUUCCUUCAGUCAAAAUGCAUACUUUAAAAAUUUACCGUAUCAUUCCUUCUCUCUUAGGAGACACAACACCAUCAUAAGGUUCUCAGUGUGCUCUUCACUUUUUGAGUAUAUCAAGAUGUCCUCAAUGAAUACUAUCACAAUUUUUUCAAGGAAUUCAUGGAACACCUUUUUCAUGAGUGCCAUAUAUGCCGCUGGUGCAUUAGGCAAUCCAAAUGGCAUCACUAAGUACUCAUAGUGUGCAUAACGAGUAUCGAAUGCGAUUUUAGGAAUGGCUAAUUUAGAAAAUCUCAACUGAUGAUAGCCAUAUCUGAGAUUGACCUUUGAAAAUAUUGAUUCACCUUGAAGUUGAUCAAAUAAGUCAUCAAUCCUAGGAAAAUGAGACCGGUUCUUAACUAUUACUGGUUCAAACGACUAUAAUCUAUGCACUACAUCCUCAUCAAUUCCUCCUUCUUUACAAACAAUACUUGUUCUCCCCAAGGUGAGACACUUGAUCUUAUGAAACCUUUGUCCAAGAGCUCUUGUAAUUGCCGUUUUAGUUUUGCCGACUCCAGUGUUGCCAUCGAAUAUAGUGAUAUCAAAAUGGGUGCAGUUCCUUGCACCAGUUUUGAUAUCAAAAUCAACCUCUCUUUUGGGAGGAAGUCCUAAAAUUUUUCAGGAAAUAUAUCUUUAAAAUCCUUUACUACGCCUACAUCCUCCUUCUGCACUGUCACAUGUGCAGGGUAUGCUUCACAUCCACCCCGAUUAAGCUUGAAAGCUUGAACAACUGACAAGAAUGGAGAUCUGUCAUGCUCCUUUCUCAGUAUAGCUGUAAACACAAAUUUCCCCUUUCCUGACAUAUUCAUCUUAACUUCCUUCUUUCAGCAAUUCAACACCUCCCCGCUUUGAGUUAACAAGUCCAUCCAGAGGAUCAUAUCAAACUCAUCAAAUCAUAACAACAUUAAGUUUUCGAACAGCUAAACUCCCUCAACGUUUAUGGAAACGUUCCUCAUAAUUGAUUUUACCACCAGAGUGUCCCCCACUAGAGUUCUAACCAUGAAACUAUACCCAAAUUCCUUAGGUACCACUUUUAACAUCAGUGCAAGUUUACACGAAAUGAAGGAAUGUUUAGACCCAGUAUAAAAAAAAGCAUAUAAGGUACGUCCAAGGAUAAAGACUGUUCCUGUAAUAGUGUAUGUUGCAAUCUCAGCCUUCUCACAAGUCAUGGCAUAAACUCUGCCUUGAGCUUGUCCUCUCGACUGUCGAGCACCUGGGGUCUGAGAACAACUACAAACCGGUUGUGCAUUAGCUCCUAUACCUCUUCCUCCAUAGAAGCCCAUACUUCCCUGAUAAAAAUUGUUAUGACCUCCUCUAAACCCACUCACAGACGGAGCUCGGUUACUAUGGUGAAGUGAUACCUCAGAUUGGGCAUGACGAACCAUCAACAAAAAGUUUCUAACCCGAUGUCCCUGAUCAUCACACCUAAAGCAUCCCUUGUCAAUAGUAUGCAUUUCUCAGGAUCCCUCCUUCCACAAUGCUGACGAAAUUGACAUGUGUGCAUAUGUGUACACUACCUAUUGUCGUGACAUUGUGUGAACAAGUCUCUAAUAAGACAUCCUAUUUGGUCCCCUUUUUGUCAUUGGUCCCUGACCAGAGUGAAUCAUAGUCUAACUGAUCUCUUUUCUCUUUCGAUAUUCCUUAUUUUCUUCUGUUUCCUCCUUCCUCUUGUUAUCUAGAUGUUCAACCCUCAAAAGUAGCUUGUGUUAUAUCUUUCUAGCUAGCCAUAUCAGAACUGGAGAUCCCUUUCUGGAUAUUUUUUACCCUACCAGAAAAUGCUUCUUUAGAAUUGUGUCUCACUCUAAUGGGAUGGUCUGGUGCCACCUGGAUAAUAGAGUAAAUUUGAUAUAAUACUCAUGGACUGUCAAAUCCCCCUGCUUCAAUGACAUGAAUUCCAUCGGCUUUUCCUCCUUUCACUGGUCAGUGAUAAAUUUUAUAUCAAAUCUUGUUUGAAACUCUCCCAUCCCAAAAUGAAAGGAUCAUUCUCAUAUAGUCUCGUUGCCUACCACCAAGUCCUGACAUGCCCUCGAAGCAAGAAAUCAUAGUAGCCAAACCGCUCGUCCGGUGUGGCUUCUAGCUGGUCAAAUGUCGCAUUCAUAUAAUGGAUCCAAUCAAUAGCUAAUUGUGGAUCUGUACUUUCCCGCUCAAAUGUUUUCUGCCUAAACCUCUCCUUCUCUUAUAAUCUAACACCGCUCAAGGUGGAUUCACAGCAAUAUCUCCACCCCAAUCAUGACUUUGGUGCACAUUAUAAGAAGACUGCUUGAUCCUCUUUCAUAAAACUCUUUAAUUUCAAAAACCCUUUUUCUAAAUACUCCACAAAUCCUUAUGCAUAUAUGCGACUAACUAUGUAUCAUAGAUGACACAACCGCUCAUUCGGUAGUGCAAAUACGGUUAUAGAAUACCUUCCCUCUUUUGGGGAUCGCGACAUCCCAAAAGAGAAACGUAGCAUACCUAUAACGCAGAAGACAACCAGACUUUGAUACCACCAUGUAACAUCCCUCACUAGAUCGAGUUGGAAACAUUGUCAAAUUGUAAUAAAUCCGCGGAGCAGUAAUAGGGGUGCUGCGCUACUUAUGCAAACUCAUCAAUUAAAUUCCUUCUAUAGAGUUUCUAGAACUUCACUUAAAAUUAUUCAUAAAAUAGACAAGUCGAUACAAAAAAUGAUCCAGAUGUCAUAUAUGACUUAUUUAUUUUAUACAGUAUAGAACACCAAAUAAGAAGUCCAUAAGGAUACAUCUUAGUACAGAUCAGAACAGAAGUCUCAAGCUCCACAGUCUCGGAAUAGAGUCACCAUAUACUUUUCCCUUGUGGCCCUUACAUUUCACAAAACUAUAUUGCGCAGCGUACUAGCAUAAGACAACCCAUGACAUAUGUAUAUAGUGAAAGUAACACUCUCAUAUGAGUUUUAAAACACACAACGAGAAUCAAGACACAAUCAUCGAUUUCUACCUGGUGUCGCCAUGAUGACCGACCCCAGAACCUGAUGACGCCAUACAGUAGAUUCCUAGUGAUGAACUAGUGUAGCCUACUGUGUCCCUGAAUGGAAAAAUAAGGGCCAAUGCUAAUCAUACUGAAAGUAUUCAGCGUGUAUCACAUAAGGCUGCAUAUAUUCUAACACCUUUUCUUAUAUUUUAUUUAGGAUCCUGGCUCAUAUAUGCUGAUGACUCAUAUGUUAGUGGAACCGAAUUGGGCCAUAGAGACAGUGGUUAGUGUAACGCUUAUCGAGGUCCACAAUGAUACAGUAGUUAGUGUGGCGCUUACCAAUGCCCACCACGAAACAGAAGUGUAAUGAGCACUAAUCAAACAUACGAGCCGUAACUAGGUGAUCAAUCAAUUACCAGAUAUAUUCAAUAAUCAGUAACAUGUAAGUUUGGACUAAAGCAUAUAUGACAAUAGAUAUACCAGCAAGAUAACAUAACAUAUCUCACAUCAAAUUACAAAUAAAGUAAAUAAGCAUAUAUAUUCUUAAGGUUAAACGGCCAUUAUCCUAUAGCAUGCAUAUGACAUUUAAUAAUAAUAAACUCAUAAUGAAACAUCUAACCCGAUCGGAUACACAGGAGACCCUGACCAAAAAUAAUCCUUUAAAACCCCGAUAAUAUCUUUCAGAUCGAGAUUUUAACUUUGGACCUCCUUUAAGAAAAAAUCGCAAGGUGCUAGUUUCCCCGUAAUCCCUCGACUUACGUUUUAAGGCUCAUAAAUAUUUCCCCUACUGAAGCUAAACAAUUUCUGCCCUUUUAUAAUGAAGAAAUGGUUGUAUCAACAUCGCUUUAAUCAUCUACCAAGUGAAUGCCUAACAAUGCCAAUAAGCUAAUUAACUUAAGGAAAACACUCUAAUGGAAACAUGCAUCCGGUACAAACCCUACAUGGAAAAAUACCAUUGACUGAUUUUUGUAUUAAAAAAUAUUCUAAAUUAACACCCAAAUAUGUCAAACAGUGCAACUAGAUCACCCAAAUUUAUUCAAUUUAAAUUUGUUAUCUUCUUUUCUUCUCUGUACGCAAACCUCCUUCACCAUUAAUAACAACCAAAUAUGUCAAACAGUGCCUGAUGUUGUAGGCAAGAGGUAUGAAUUGUUUGCAUAGCAGCACGCCGAAAAGUGUGCACACGGAUAUUAAGUCCCCUAAUCUGCUUGUUAAUAAAACUGGAACGUUAAGGUAUGCCAUGUGAAUUUGCUAGGGUUCUUAUCUUAUCAUUUUGCGAUGCAACUCGAAUACGAAUAAUCUGAGUUGUAUUCUUGUAAUGUGUAUGCAGGUUUGUGGUUCGGAUUGUCACGCUGGCAGCACAACAUAUUUUUGGCCUCCAAAUCAACAGUCGGAACGGUGAUAUUCUCGCCUGCAUCUAGUUUAUGCACUAGAAAGAUUAUGUAUCAUGAAGCCAACCUUUUACCUCAUAAACCGAUGGAUUUCCUUUGAAUGUGUUACAGCUGGAAUCGAUGGCACCCGAAGUUCUAUGCAACAAAUUCUCAGAGUUUGAGUUGGUGAUCUCUUAUUGAUUAAUACUAUGAUCUUAUAUGCUUUACUUGCUUUUCUUUGAGCUGAACGAACUCGACAUUCUUCUGCUUAUGUUAACGGGCGAUGAGGUCUUCCUAUAGAGAAGAAAAGAAAAUUAAGGUGAUGGAAAUUAAAAAAAAAAAGAAAAAUAUAAUAGAAAAAAUGGAAGCGAAAUUAACGGUUUUGAAUUGAAUGAAUGUGGGUGAUAUAAUUGUGUUGUUUCAUAUAUUUGGAUAUUAAUUCAUCAUUAUCUUUUACUAAAAAAAACCAAAGAUUCCAUCAUAUAGUAUUUAUACUUAAUGUAUAUUUCCAUUAAAGUAUCCGCCUUAACUUUAAUUAUCCUAAAGCUAUUUGUCCAAAUCUUUGGCACCUAGACAUUUAAUUCAUAUAAAGGGAUGUCCCAAGCUAGGCACGUUCAUACUUCUCUUUUGAAAGGUAAUGUGAAUAUUUUACAAGAUAACCAAGUUAAUUAUUAAAUGCAUCCAUAUAUAACUGUAUAGUAAUAUUUUGAUCAAUAUUUUUAGUGUGGUUGGAGCGGAUUUCUACAAAAGAUAAUCCACUGACCAUUAUAGGAACAUGGAACCAAUUGCGAAUCCCAGCCCCAUUAUAAAAAGUCCCGAUCACAUACACAAAUUCUCGAUCCCGGUCCUCGUGGAAGUUUGAAUUUGAGGUCCUGAAUUUAUUAGACAUUUCAUAACUUCGAACAGGAUAUGCUGCAUCUCAUUCUCAAAAUUCUAGCCCAACUUGAUAGGAUAAUAACUCGAUAUUGAUUUAAACAUUUCAAUUAUAUGGAAAUUACUAGGUAGACAGUGAUAUAGGUACUUCAGUAGAAUAAAACAUGUUUGUUAUUGUUAAGAAAAAGCCAAAUAUUCAAAUUUAAUUUAAAUUUUGAGUCGAUUGUCAAAUCUAAUUUGAAUUAUUUUGAUGACUAUUAUUUAGCCAAUAGUUUCGUUCUUCCGAUAAUACUAGCCCGUUGACUAAAUUUUCCGAUAAAUUUGUUACCUUUAAUGACGAGGCAGAUGGAGCUGACAUGACAUUCGCUUAAGAGGUUAAAUAAAUACGAUAUCAGCUGCCAAAUCAGCAUUUCAAUUACGAAACAAAAUUUAAUUAAAUAAAAAGUUGAUUAUUCCCAACAAAAAUAAAAUUAAAAAUCAAACCGAACAAUUUUUUUAUUAUUUUGUUAUUUAUAAAUUUUCUUAAUUGCAGUGUUUACUUAAUUUGGGGAUGGUGAUGUGGCUACAUUUGACAUGUCAACUUGUAUGUCACUUUGGUGGUCUAAGUUUCGUUACUGUCGACGGAAAAUUUAGCAAAAUUCUGUUAAAAGGCAGAUUUAGGAUUUAAAAUAGUUCAGGCUAAAUUUGGGUUUUUGGCCUUAAGAAAAUGUCGAAAAACGUACUAUUCUCUCCUAUUACUUUGGCUUCUACAUGUUUACGGUAUGACAAUUUUAUGUUUGAAUACAAUGAAUGCAGUUUUUGACUUCUUAAGCACGGAUUAAUACACAGUCCAUACCUCUUCAAACAAAGUUCGAAGGAGGGUGUUCGAUGUCUACAAUGGCUAUAUACUGCUAUCUACUACUACUUUUAUGGAUGCUCUGAGAGAGCUCAAAACUAAAGCUAUGUCUAUGACGAAAGAUAAAUUUUGAUUAAGGGUCUGCUUGAUCAGAUUUGUCUGUGUUCUUCUAUGUUGAUUGUAUAUGGUAUUUACGCUGUCGUGGGUAGUAAGAGGCAACUUUCGCCGAGGUUACUUCUCAUGUCAUGAACGUAGGUGCAAUUUCUUCUCUUCCUCAACCGCUUGGGAUAGUGGUGUUGGCAGUUCCUUCUCUUCAGGGACUUGGGUGUGUUCUCUUUUUGCAGCUUUAUGCGUUCAUAACAUGCCAGUGGACAGUCGGCAGGGUCCCUAGGACGCAAUUUAUUUGAAACACCCUAUACUUCUACCAUUUACUAAAUGACAAAAAUGCUCCGGUCAGGGAACUUAAAUAAAAAAAAGACAUAGAACAAAAUUUAAAUUCUCUAGUAGUCAAUGAAAACUGUUAUAACACACCAUGAAAAUGAAAAUAUAAAGUUUCAUUGAAAACACUCUAAGACAAAUAACUAUCUUAAAAAUUAAGUCCACCUCUCCACACAUCCUGAAUCAGCUCAACUAUGCUCCUACAUCAACUACCAAAACACCAUGGUGGGUGGUUUGGGGUCAGUCUUUUGUGCUCUAAUCUUAACAUUUAAUAUACUGACACGAAUGCACUACUAAAACGUUAUUCAACUUCAUCUAACCAUAUAGAGUUAACAUUCAUUUCUGCUACUAUGCUACCACUACUAAGGUUGUCUAAACAUCUACUAGCAUCAUCCAUCUAGGAUAUCAUAACUAUAGGGCGUCCCUUGAACUUAUCUAACUAGACUUACCAUUCAUUUGCCAGACUUAAGAUAACAUCGUGGGUCUCUAGUGGCCCAGUACUAUCAUGUGGGACUCUAGUGGUCGGAUAGCUAAUAACGGGACUCUAAUGACCCAAUAGCUAAUAGCGGGACUCUAGUGGCCCGAGUAACUAAGCCUUGGAUCUCUAUUGGUCGAAGGUCACAGGCUGACAAUCUGUAUCGGGGGUCUAGCUAGAGAGUUAUGUACUACUGUGUCAUUUGACUAUUAGAUCGUCUACUAAUGGUAUAGGCUUAUAGUAGUUUGCCCACUAAUUAUUUUCAGCUCAAUUAUAUUAGUAUAUUUGAUCAUAUGAUCUAAUUAAUUAUCUUAGAAGAAUCGAAAUAUCGAUCAUGUCUAAUUCAUAGACUAAAGAGUCUAUUUUUAACUAAUUCAUAAUUUAAAUUUAUUCCAAUAUCCAAUUAUUAUGAACAACUAUAUGUUCCUAACAAUUUCAUACUAGCUGAUCUAUUAUUAAUUACAAACUUAAUCCAUUAAGAAUCAAUUCUAUAGUCUAAUAAUUGACAAUAAACAAGUUAACCGGAUUUUAUACUAGAUUGAACUACCCAGUAAAUUAUUUGGGUAUAUUUUGUCACAACCUGAAAGUUACAAGUCGCGGCAGUGACAAUAAACAAUUAAGGACUGAACUGAUAGAGUCUAGAAGUUUUGUAUUGCUAAGUUAAUUUCUAGAACUGUAGGUGUUGAACGCAAUUACUAGAAGUCCAGUGACGGUACUGUAAUCACCGAGACUUCCAGGGGCAGUUACUGAAAUUUCCCCAAAGUUGUCUCCUUCCUAGAAUAAAGGAACUGACGCGACUCCGACGGGCCCGGGUUUUCGCCGAAACCUAACCAAACUGAAACCAACGACCGAGAAAAGGUUUCUAACCUCAAUACGAAGCUAAUCCGCGCAUCUGGACGGUUUGAAGGCGACUGGUGAUCAGAUCGGAAAGGAUGAAUCGCCGACAAGGUGUUCAUGCUUCCGGAAACGAAUCAAGUUGUUAAUAUGGCUUAAAUUCAGAGUUCAUCGAAUCAAAGAGGUUUGGAAAUACUAGAGGAUAGCUUCUUACUUAACAAAAACAAGAGUGUGAUGGGAUUUCAAUGCCUUCAGAUCAGGGGAGGACGUCACCGUCUAAGAUUGAAGCCUAUCAUCAAUUGCUCGUGACUGUUGUGGUUACUCAACUUGGAGGUGGAACAUCCAGGAGCACUUAGGGUUAUGAAAGUAGGACUGUAUAGGGUGUGAUUGGGAAGAACCAAAAGAAGACGCAAAAACGAUAAGGAUUGUCGCCAGAUUUCUCGAUAGUGAACCGCGUCGGAAUGGCUACGGAAAAGGAAGCUGGAGAUUUGCAGAUGAUGAUGUCGUCUUCAUGUCAUCAUCCACGUCACCAGCACUGGCUAUUGUAUACUUCAAUGAUAGGUCAGAAGGAUUGAGUCAGCGCCCAUUCAACUGUACGGUGUCGUUUUACUAUGUGUUGGAAUUGGAAACAAUUAAAGGGACUUCCAGAGGAGGGAAUCGAACUCAAGAGCUUUACUCUAAUGGAUUAGAUUCUUAUAUACUAGGGUACAGCUGAAUUCAUUAUUCAAAUUCCCUUUAGCCAUAGCUAAUCCCUCACGGAUGUGAUUUCAGGUGCAUAAUAGUGACUUCCCAAGAGGUCCUCCCCUGAUCUUAGAGGAUGGCUAUGGAAAAGGAAGCUGGAGAUUUGGUUAGGUCGAUUUUGUGGAGUGCUAGGGUAGGGCUAUAUAUCAGGAUGUCGUCAAAGAAAACUAGGAUAAAUUUACGGAGGUAAGGUCCUAAUAUGUAGUUUAUGAGGGCUUGGAAUGUGGCUGGGGCAUUUGUGAGGCCAAAAGGCAUUAUCCUAAACUCAUAGUGGCCAUGGUGAGUUCUAAAGGCUGUUUUAUGUUGGUCUUCUGGCAACAUACGAAUUUGGUGGUAUCCUGCUCUAAGAUCAAGCUUAAUGAAGUAUGUGGAUCCAUGUAAUUAAUCUAAGAGUUCAUCUAUUAUAGGAAUGGGGAACUUGUCCUUGAUAGUGAUGGCAUUCAACUGUCUAUAGUCAACACAAAAUCAUCAAGAAGUGUUUUCUUUUUAACUAACAUGGCAGGGGAUGCAAAAGGGCUAUGGCUAGGUGAGAUAAUAUCAGCAGCAAGCAUUUCCCCUACCAAUCUUUUUGAGCAGGUGUGUACCUGUAUGGCCAAUCAUUGAUGGUUCUAUGAUUUGACUCCAAGGGAAUAGCAUGAUCACAUGAUCUUACAAGUGGCAGGGAUUUAGGCACAUUAACACAUCAGGAAAAAGAACAAGAACAUCAGAUAAGGCAUUUGGUAUAACCUGUUGUAUAAUUGGAGUAGCUUAGUGGAAAAAUUGUCCAACUAGGUAGGGAGGAUGCUUCUUGGUUAGGCUCUUGUAAAACUCCUUUUUUAUCAUGGAUUUGUAAUUUCCUGUUUCACUCAAGCCUUUGAGGGUAAAGGACUUGCCCUGCCAUUGGAACUCCAGACUUAGUUGCUUGAAAUCCAUCUCUACCGGGUUAAUUAUUUGCAAUCAAUCAAAUCCCAACACCAAAUCAUUCUCCUUGAGGUCCAGGACACGCACAUCAAAACUAAACGGUUAUCCUUGCAUCAAUCAUGUGAAUCCCUUACAGGUUUUCGUGUUGAGUAUGGCAUCUCUGUUAGCAACCUUCAUCGUUGGAGCAGGUUGCAAGGUGCAUUGCAAUGGUUCUGCACAAAAUUGACUAGGGAAGGUAUGACUACUCCCUGUGUCAACCAAAAUUAGCAAGCGAACUCUUCCAAUUUUGUCUUUUAAUUCAAAUAAGAGAUGUGAUUAGCUUCCAUUGCCAAGUAGUGGAUCUCCUCCAAUUCUUGAGUGUCCUCCACAUCUGCCAUAUCAUUCUCCACAUCCUCCGCUGUUACUUUAGCAUCUCCUUCCAACAGGUUGAGGCGUUUCUUCCCACAUUGAUGGCCAUAAAAAUAUCGGUCUCCACAUUUGAAGCAAGCUCCUGGGUUCUUCCCCCUUGAGUAGAAGCUCCAAAAGGUCUGGUUGGAGCCGCCUGGAACCUCCUUGAACUGCCAAGACGAGGGCCAUUUGAAUCUAGCAACCGAUUAUUGGAGCUACGUUACUUCUUCUUUCUAGCCUCAAUGGAGGUUUCCUCCAUCCGUGCCCGCAAGAUGUUGUGUUCAACAUUUGGGGUCUCAACAUCAACAGAGCAUGUUCCAUUUCACUAUCUAGCCCACUGAUAAAACUAUUGAUAAAAUACUCCUCUCCCAAUAUGAGAGUGAGCUUAAGCAUUCAAGCUCUCAGCUCUUCAAAUUGUUCUUUGUACUAUGUCACUAACCUGGUCUGCUUCAGCUAAUUAAAAGCUCCCACUGUAUUAAUAUGACCAGAAUCGCCGAAUCUCUACAGUAAAUCAACAACAAAAUCCUCCCACAAAAUGAUCGGUCGUCCAGCACAUCAUCCUUGAAACCAUACAUCCGCACGAUCUUCCAGCAAAAGAGAGACCAAAUCCAUCUUUUGAUUAUCAACUAUAUUAUGCAUAGUAAAUAACUUUUGGCACUUACAGAUCCACGAAGUUGGCUCAUUACUACUGAAAUGGGAAAAUUCCAGCCUUGGCAUGUGAUGAUGCCCUGCCUAAUCGCCACGUGGAAGGAGUCAACAGUCCAGUGGUGCCGGCGGUUGCUGAGCCUCGAGCAAGCGCUGCAUGAUCCAUUCGUAAGUCGAAAACAUCUGCCGUCAGCAGCCCCUGGGCGGUGGCAAACCGGUUUAGGGUUUCUUGAACGGCAGUCACCGCCUCCUCCAAUGUAGUUAGGUGUUAGUUUGUCAUGCCGGAGAGGGCUCUGAAUAUCAAUUGUCACACCCCUGAUGUACUCCGGCGAUUAGAAAGAGAAUUAGAAAGGAGAGAAGGGAGGUGAGGAAGAGAGAAAUUGACAGAGAAUAUUUUUUUAUUAAUUUCCUCAAAUGGGCUCUCUCAUAUAAAUUCAAUUGUAUCAUUACAGAAAUUAUCAUUUUUGGUCCCUCGAUUAUUAAAAAUAACAAAACAACAAAACAUUGAAAAGUUGCAAUUUCG